GAAAUGCGAUAAGUAAUGUGAAUUGCAGAAUUCAGUGAAUCAUCGAAUCUUUGAACGCACAUUGCGCCCGCCAGUAUUCUGGCGGGCAUGCCUGUUCGAGCGUCAUUUCAACCAUCAAGCUUUAAGCUUGUGUUGGAGCCCUGCGGCUGUCCGCAGGGCUCCAACACAAGCUUAAAGCUUGAUGGUUGACCUCGGAUCAGGUAGGACUACCCGCUGAACUUAA
rnacentral:misc_RNA from 1 species